AACGAACGCUGGCGGCAGGCUUAACACAUGCAAGUCGAACGCUCCGCAAGGGGAGUGGCGCACGGGUGAGGAACACGUGGGGAUCUGCCCUUCGGUUCGGAAUAACACCGGGAAACUGGUGCUAAUACCGGAUAUUCUGCUUGGUCUUGGCGACCGAACAGGAAAGAUUUAUCGCUGAAGGAUGAACCCGCGUCUGAUUAGCUAGUUGGUGGGGUAAUGGCCUACCAAGGCGACGAUCAGUAGCUGGUCUGAGAGGACGAUCAGCCACACUGGAACUGAGACACGGUCCAGACUCCUACGGGAGGCAGCAGUGGGGAAUAUUGGACAAUGGGCGAAAGCCUGAUCCAGCCAUGCCGCGUGAGUGAUGAAGGCCUUCGGGUUGUAAAGCUCUUUUAGAUGAGAAGAUAAUGACGGUACCAUCAGAAUAAGCCCCGGCUAACUUCGUGCCAGCCGCCGCGGUAAGAC
rnacentral:rRNA from 1 species